GGAGGGUCCUGCAGCCUGUGCGUCGUGUCGCUUCGGCGUCCUUUGCCCGUGGUGUGACCUGAAAGCGACGCGGGUGCACCCACAAGAUGGAGGAACCGCGGAUCACAAGGCAUAAUGGAAGCUUGUAGGCUCUUACUGCAUCCUGCACUGUUGGCUCACUCCUCACCCCUGAGCCGAUUUUAGAAGAGGUCCAGCUCGGCGGGCACUUGAACCUGGGCUCCAAGUGCAGGUUCUGCUAAUGGAAGUGUGGCUCCUGGCCCAGGUGGAAACAGAGACUUCGCAGUGGACUAAAAAGCCCCAGGAUCACAAUCACACGUGGAAGAGCACGCUGCUGAACUGAACCCUCUCCCUAGAAUUCAGCAUGGAAGCAGCAAAAUCCCUGAAAGGAACAUGUCCAAGAGUUCCUGGGCCAGAAUGUUCCUCUCCAGCUCCUCUCCAGUGUGAGCAAAGUCUGUGCAAUAACACCAUCUCCAGAGAUCGGUGAUUAUUGUGGCUCAGCAAAGUUUCAGUUCAACCUCCAGAUGGAAGAUAGAUCGCCUUCGUUCAAGGACCUGGCUGUGGACUUCACCCAGAACGAGUGGCAGCAGCUGGACCCGACUCAGAGGCUCCCGUACAGGGAUGUGAUGCUGGAGGACUACAGGCAGCUGCCAAGAGCUUGCGUCUGCUCUGUGUCUCAAACACAUGUUGCAUUUAAUUAUUUAACCUUGAGUGUCAGGGGAGGAAGAUGAUUUAGGCAGUGGAUGUGUGUGUGUGUGUACACUCACUGCCCCCCCACCCCCACCCUGUAGUUCCUGUCACUGUUCUAGCUUUACUGACCUGUUGCUGGGCAUCUUCAUCACGCAGCUUCUAAAGCUGUACUUUCUUUGUGCUUCAGCGUCCCUGACGUCCAUAGAGCUUGGUCCAAGUUCUGCAUCACUUCCCAUUAACAGGGCAUCACAUUAGCAAACCAGAUGUGAUCUUCAGAUUGGAGCAAGGAGAAGAACCAUGGAUAGUGGAGGAGUUCUCAAGGCGGAACCACUCAGGAAAAAUAUGCUACAAAUAUGAUCCACCUGGAAACAGUUUGAAAACUCAUUCAGAAGUAAGUCUUGCAAAGGAAAGCUAUUUUUAAAAGGUUCCUGAUGAAUACAGUGGAGGUGGGAAACACUACUCUACUCUAAGGAUGAGAAAAGUCAUUCUGGAGUGAAAAAAUACAAGGAUAAUCCAAUGAGGAAAGCCAGAAGUCAAAAUGAGGAUCUUAUGCUGUACCAGAACAUUCAGACUUUGAAACAACCUCUUGACUAUAGUAAAUGUGGGAAAACCUUCUUCAAAAGGGUAGUCCUCAUUACACAGAAGAGGAAGCCAAAUGAAUGUAAUGAGUGUAGGAAAACCUUUUCUAAGAAGUUCACCCUCAUUGUACAUCAGAGAAUUCAUACAGGGGAGAAACCCUACGUAUGUAAUGAUUGUAGGAAAACCUUCUGUGUGAAGACAAACUUCACUUGACACCAAAGAAUUCACGCUGGAGAGAGACCCUAUGAAUGCAGUGAAUGAGGGAAAACCUUCACUGUCAGAUCAGCCCUCAUUGUACUUCAGAAUAUUCACAGAGGGGAGAAAUCCUGUGAGUGUAAUGAACGUGGAAAGACUUUCUUUCAGAAGUCAGCCCUCACUGAACAUUUCAGGUCACGCCCAGGGGAGAAACCUUAGGAAUGCAAGGAAUGUAGGAAUGCCUCCAGCAAGAAAUCUUACCUUGCUGUUCAUCAGAGAACUCACAGAGGAGAAACCAAAUGAAUGUCAGGAAUGUGGGAAAACCUUCUUCUGUCAGUCAGCCCUCAGUGUGCAUCGGAGAACUCAUACAGGAGAGAAACCCUAUGAAUGCAGUGAGUGUGAAAAUUUUUUAUGUACUAAACCAGCCCUCAUUGCACAUCAGAUAACUCACAGAGGAUAGAAAUCUUAUGUGUGUGGUGAAUGUGGGAAAUUUUUCUGCCAUAAGUCAACACUCAUUGUACAUCAAAGAACUCACACAGGACCCAAACACCAUGUGUUUAAGAAAUGUGGUAGACCAUUCUUUGUAAGGUCAAACCACAAUGAAUGUGAGAGAAUGCACACAAAGAAUCUUUAUGUGUGUAGUGAAUGUGGGCACGCCAACAGCAAAAACACACACCUUGUUGAACAUCAGAGAACUAUGUGGGAGAAACCAUAUGAAUGUAACGAAUGUGGGAGAACCUAUUGCCGGAAGUCAGCCCUCACUCACCACCAGAGAACGCACACAGGAAAGAGACCCUAUGAGUGCGGUGAAUGUGGGAAAACCUUCUGCCAGAAAUUCUCCUUCAUCGAACAUCAGUGAACUCACACUGGGGAGAAACCGUAUGAAUGUAAUGAAUGUGGGAAAUCCUCCUGCCACAAGUCAGCCUUCCGAGUACACUGGAGAAUUCCCACAGGAGAGAAACCCUAUGAAAGUAGAGAAUGUGGGAAAACCUAUCGUCGGCUGUGGACUCUCACUGAACAUCAGAAAAUACACACAGGGCAGAAACCCUAUGAAUGUAACAAAUGCAAGAAAACAUUUCACCACAAAUCAAACUUCCUUUUACAUCAGAAAACUCAUAAGGAGUGACUUCCAAGAAAGCAGCAAUUCAAAUAAUUUACACAAUUACACAAGUAAUUUACACAAUAAUUUCAUAGGCUAAAAUCCUAUGAAUAUGCACAGAGGAGUGAAAUCUUAUAAAUGUAAUUAAUGUGAGAAAUAUUCCUGCCAUAAAUUGACCCUCACCAUAACGUCAGAGAACUCACACAGGAGAGAAAUAUAGUGUGUUUAGUAAAUGUGGUAUAACAUUCAGUGUGAGCUGUGAAAAUAUUCAACAAUUCAUUCAUGUCAAGUGUGCCUCCCUUUUAAAAUAAUGGAACAAACAUUAUUUAAGUGAAAUUGAUUGAUUCCUCUCCACGUUGUUACUUGAGAGUCUGUGUUACCAGGUGUGAGGAUCUAACCUUAUUUCAUUCCAAAUCAACACCAGUUGUUCCUACAAUAAUUAGUAAUUUACAAUUUCCCAAUUAAUAGUGUUUGAAACUCUCAGGCUAGACAGGUUGGUUUUUUCUUUUAACUCUGUCUUCAUAGUCUUCUAGUAACAGCCUCCAGUCCUUGUGUCUGUGGAGGUGGCAGUUAAGAGGACCACCUAUGGACUCCAUCCUCCUGGUCCCACAGUGGUAUUCCACAGAUGAGCAUUCGAUAAAGUGAAGCUAGUGAAAGCCCUUCCUAAGACCUUUGUGUUGGGAGAUGGACAGGAUAGCUAAUAUGGGAUGCUGAAGCUUCCAGCAGCCAGGUCAAGAAAACAGCAAUUGCAAUAGGAAAAAAAAUGCAGAGAAGCAAUGAGAAUUCUGACGGUGUUUGAAUCCAGGACCGUGUUUGUCUCCUUGGUAUUCAUGUUCCCUCACUUCCACUCACCCGUGUUCUACCAGUGGUUUGAUUGUGUCAACUAAUAAGUCUGCAAAUUUUUUUGUAUUUUCUAAUAAACAUGUUCAUAGAAGUGUUCUUUAGAAUUCACUUAUCAAAUUCUGAGGAAAAAAGCCUCUGUAAUACAAAUCAGAAUUACAUUAUAGGUGUGUAUGUGGUUAGGCAGGAUUGCCUUCCAGAUCCUGAUUUCCAUGACUGAGAUUUUUUUCCCCUAAACUCAUUCCCAGCCUCUCUGUCACAUUAAGCAUUCUGCCCCAGGAAGAUGAGGUGGGCUUAUGUAAUUGGUAAAAUUGGCAUAGAUAUACAUAUGUAUGUAUGUGUGAGUGUGUAUGUCUUAUACAUGUGAAUACACACGUGUAUGAAUGUAUAUGUGUGUGAGUGUAUACCAGUCUUGCUCUUUUUCCUGGGAAACUUGUUUAUAGCCACUUCAAAGGUUUGGUUGCUAUUGUGAAUGAUAUUUUAUCAUCUUUCACUUUAAAAUUGGACUCUUUAUUGAUGGAAUUAAAAAAAUAAUUUUUGUAUCAAAUUUGUCUCCAUUUAUCCCUCAGCUUUACUACUUUUUUGCUUGUUCUUGUAAAAUUCAUCGUUUAUUAUAAGUGAAACUGGUGGACUGCUUUUUUCCUCCACUCCUUCUGUGUGCUAAAGGUCUGCCCAGCAGCUCUCUGUCCCCUGUGCCUUCUGCUUGCCUGCUUGCUUUGGAUUAUGUGGCAAAACAGGAUUCUGCCUGUUACUGUAUUGUUUUUAUUUAUUGUUUUUGUGUAAUAUUAUA